AGAGCAGUGCAGAAAGGUUUCGGCCGCCUUCUCCAAUCAAAAGUCACACCUAUUGGCCUAAUGCAGAGAACCAUGAGCUCCUCGUUAAGAAAUACUGAAAACAGAAGGUAGUCCCUCUGUCGCAGGUAUAAAUAAAAGAUCCUGGAACAAUAUUGGACUACUUGCCUUCACAGUUCUGAGAAGAGAGCUGGAAGAGACUGCUUUUACUGCAAAUGCACAACCUACAUUCUGGAUUUAAUCACUGCUUGGCGAUUGCUGUUACCCUCCUUCACCUGCCAGAGAGCAAACAAACAUCUUAGUAAGCAAAAAGUUCUUUAUGAGCACAUGGCAGAGGUGACUGCGGUGGCACACUUUUCUAGAAAGCAGUUGUUACUGAGAUGA
rnacentral:lncRNA from 1 species